CAUUGCCUCUAGCACAAAGUAUUAGAGGUAACGCCUGCCCAGUGAUAAAUUAAACGGCCGCGGGAUCCUUUACCGUGCAAAGGUAGCAUAAUCACUUGUCCCCUAAAUAGUGACUAGUAUGAACGGCCAAAUGAAGAUUUUUCUGUCUCUUAUAAUUAAUCUAUGAAACUAAACUAUCAGUACAAAAACUGAUAUUCUUACAUAAGACGAAAAGACCCUGUGGAACUUUAAGCACCAAUCAUAAAAUGACACAACUGCUUUUAGUUGGGGCAACUUUGGAAACAAGCCAAACUUCCAACCACCAAACUAGAUAUACACAUCUACCAUUCUACUUGACCCAGUAAUACUGAUCAAAGAACCAAGCUACCCCAGGGAUAACAGCGCCAUCCCCUUAUAGAGCCCAAAUCGACAAGGGGGUUUACGACCUCGAUGUUGGAUCAGGGCCCCCAAACAGUGCAACAGCUGUUAACGGUUUGUUUGUUCAACAAUUAAAGCCCUACGUGAUCUGA
rnacentral:rRNA from 1 species